rnacentral:rRNA from 1 species
UACGUAGGGUGCGAGCGUUGUCCGGAAUUACUGGGCGUAAAGAGCUCGUAGGUGGUUUGUCGCGUUGUUCGUGAAAACUCACAGCUUAACUGUGGGCGUGCGGGCGAUACGGGCAGACUGGAGUACUGCAGGGGAGACUGGAAUUCCUGGUGUAGCGGUGGAAUGCGCAGAUAUCAUCAGGAAUACCGGAGGCGAAGGCGGCUCACUGGGGGUUUUCUGACGCUGAGGAACGAAAGCCAGGGGAGCGAACGGGGA